AAAAGAAUACUUUCAGACAUAUUUCGUUGAAAAUUAGACUAGUAAAUAAACAAACUAUUUGCUGAAGGUCUGAAAUGAAAAGUCCAUAUACAAUUUGGAAAACCAAAAUGGAAUUUCCAACAAAAGACCAGAAAGAGACAUUGAGUCAAUAUUCCUGUUAAAUGUUCCUAAUUUCCAUGUGUACUACAUUAAUAUGACAUUAUUUUCUACAAUUUUCACACCUUGCCGAAUACAAGAGGGGAAGAGUUUUAUUACUACAUUAAAAGGGAACAAAGACAUUACAAUCUAAACCGAAUCUGCAGAAAUACACUUUAAAAUUAUUGUAAGCCUAUUAAGCCCUGAGUCUGAUUCCCAAACAGCUACAAAACCAGAUCAUGAUCGAUUUUUUAUAACUAUAUAGCAACAUCAGUUACAAUUUUCCAUAUUAUUCACUUUGACUUACAGCCAAAAAAAAAUUAAAAAAAAAAAAGCCUAAUUUGCAUCCUUGUUUGGCAACCAUGAAACACAUCAGCACUUUCAUUAACGGAAAGUGUUUCUUCAUAUUUCUGUGUGGAAUUCUGUUUCUCACCAAACUCAGUUUCUGCAUUGGUGACCUUGAUGUAGCAUGCAUAGAUGCUGAGAAGAAAGCGCUUGUCAAGUUCAAGGAAGGCCUAACAGAUCCUUCUGGCAGGCUUUCAUCAUGGGUGGGAGAUGAUUGUUGUAGAUGGGAGGGAGUAAGUUGCAACAACAGAACUGGACAUGUGGUCGAGCUCAAUCUUCGCUGCCCCUACUCAGAAAGUUUGGAUGGUGAUGGAACAGUGCAAACUUUGAGUGGUAAGACUGAUCCAUCUCUGCUAGUUUUGAAAUAUCUAAAUCACUUGGUCUUGAGCAUGAAUGAUUUUGGAGGUUCCCAAAUUCCCUCUUUCAUUGGAUCAUUACAGAGUUUGAGAAUCUCAAUCUUUCUGGUGCAUCUUUUGGUGGAACUAUUCCACCAAGUCUUGGAAACCUAUCGAGAAUGAUAUAUCUUGAUCUCAAUAACGUUGAUCAGUUUGAGUUAACCAAAAGUAGCCUCUACUGGCUUUCCGGUCUUUCUUCUUUAAAAUACCUUCAUUUAGGAGGUUGGGACAUGUCCAUGUCUGCAACACAUUGGCUCCAAAUUGUUAACAGACUUCCAUCACUCCUGGAAUUGCACUUUCCCUUCUGUCAACUUUCCAACCUUCCUUUCACUCUUCCUUCUCUUAAUUUCACCUCUCUUAUGGUGCUUGAUCUCUCAAACAAUGGAUUCAACUCUGCAAUACCAGACUAGUUGUUCAAUCUCAAACGCCUAGUUUACCUUGACCUUAACUCCAACAACUUAUAUGGGCCACUUCCAGAUAAAAUUGCUAAUUUGGCUUCUCUUGAAAACCAUGACUUUUCACUGAAUUCCAUUGAGGGUCAGCUGUCAAAAAAAUGGGGAAAGUUAUGCAAUUUGCAGAGUCUGAAGCUUUCACAAAAUAAAAUUACAGGUGAAAUAACUAAUGUUUUCGAUACUUUGUCCACGUGCUCCAGAAGCAAAUUAGAGACAUUGAAUUUGGGGUACAAUGAGCUGGAAAUCUACCGAACUCUUUAGGAUAUCUAAAGAGUUUAAGGCACUUUCAAAUGCCAUAUAACUUAUUUCAAGGCUCACUUCCAGGCUCAAUUGGAAACUUGUCAGCUUUGGAACAAAUUUCAUUAUCCAAUAAUAAACUGACUGGUAUCCCAAAGAGUCUUGGACAGCUCUCAAAGCUGACUGUAUUAGACAUCUCAGAGAACAUGUGGGAAGGGGUCAUAACUGAAACUCAUCUCGCUAAUCUUUCAAGCUUGAAGGAGUUGACAAUGGAUAAAGCAUCCCCAAAUAUUUCUUUGGUCUUUGACAUUAGCUCUGAUUGGAUACCUCCUUUUAAAGUCACCUACCUCCUCAUCAGAUCAAGCCGAGUAGGUCCCAAAUUUCCUACAUGGCUUAAGAAUCAAAGUGAUCUGUCCUAUGUGGUACUCAACAAUGCAAUGAUUUCAGACACCAUACCAAACUAGUUUCUGAAUUUGAAUUUGCAGCUUGAUAGACUUGACAUAGCUUAUAAUCAACUAAGUGGCAGGGUGCCAAACUCAUUCAGAUUCAACAAAGAGAGCACUGCCAAAUUGACUACAAACAGAUUUCAGGGUCCUCUUCCACUUUGGUCAUCAAACGUUACCAAGUUGUAUCUUGGGGACAAUCAGUUUUCGGGGCCAAUUCCUCCUAGCAUUGGUGAAGUAAUGCCUUUGCUAACAGAUUUAGAUGUCUCUUACAACUCUUUGAGUGGAAGCAUACCCUUGUCCAUUGGAAAUAUAACCGGAUUGAUGAACUUGGUUAUCUCCAACAAUGAAUUAUCAGACAAUGUAGACUUGGGAACAGCAUGUGGGAAAUAUUGAAUUUGAAAAUUGGUGAAGUGAUAAACGAAUGAAGAAUGCACUGGCAGUGAAUGAUCAGUCAUGCGGGCUCAGCGGGAUAUUGAAACAAGAAACGAGGAGUGACUCUCUCUCUCUCUCUCUCUCUCUCUCUCUCUCUCUCUGUGCCAUCUUUUUCUUUUUCUUAUUUUUCAAUUUGUGCGUUGUUUGUUUAUGUGAAUAAGUGAAUGGUAAAUGAGGAAAAAGACAAAAAAUAUUAAAUUUUCUGCUUUCUUAAAUGCUUGCGUGAAGGAUUGGACUUUGACAUUAGGAAAAAGUUCUCUUUGCAUGACUUUCCCAGUUUUUUCCAUCUCAUUUUUCAUGUUUUUUGGCCUGCACAUUUCGUUGUAGUUUCUUUGCUUUACUCUUCCUUUUCUUUGGAUUGCUUUGCGGGGAUGGUUUUGCUUUGUCUUUGGUGCAAUUUUCUUUUUUUGACAUUCCAUUCCCUGUCUUAGUUUUCCUAAAUUUUAUGUGAACUACCAAGAUAUUCAUGUAGCUCUCUGCAUCUUCAAAAGCUGAAGCAAAUUAGCAGUUCUCUUUGAAUUUCUCUUCGAAUUUCUCUUUGAUUUUCUUUCUUGUUUUUUCCCUGCAGGUGCUGGUCGUUGUUGCCAUUCUGCAGUGGUUUCUGUUGGUGUUGUUCUGUUUUUCAUCUUUCUAUAAGUCUUGUUUAAUUAAAGUUUGCUAGUGUGAGUAGUUUUGUUAACAUUGCAUAUUUGAACUAUGUUUUUGUUAAGUGGUUUCUGUUAUGAAGAAGAAAAAGGAUUCAAGAAACAAAGUUAUGUUUAUGUUAGCAAUCUAUAUCUGUUUUUGUUUGAUUAGAAGGAUCCAGCUAAUGUAGAAAAGUAAAAGAAUGUUAAUUUGAUUAGAAAUGCUAUUUGUUAUGCUUUACUGCAUAUUUGGGCUUGUUAUGUCAGAUCAUUUGUCUAAAACGUGAUAAAAAAUGUGUGAUAAAGAUAUAUUGGGAGACCCCGAAAAUGCUGGAUGCUCCAGUGUUUGGAUGUGUGCUUGCGGCAGAAGGUGGGACACUCACUUUCAUGGCUAAAGAGCUGAACCUUGUUGCUAGUGCGGCCAAAAGAUGUUGGUCUUAAGUGUCCUGUGACAUUCCAAAGACAAACGAUGUAAAUUCCUUUUCCUACUUGACUCAAAAUUCUGAGAUUACUGUUUUCAUAAUCAAUAAAUUUUGGAUAAAUAUAUAAUUCAGUUUCUCAAAGAAUAGUGUAUUGUAGUUAUUCUAGGAGAAAUUGAUUGUGUAUGGUGUAAAGUAAAUCCAUAUGCAAUUAGUUGCUUGUUGACAUUUUUAUUUUUAUUUUAUUGUAGUAGAUUUAAAAUUUUAGUAAUAUGCAUGUUCUUUUUUACUAUUAA